AUUGAACGCUGGCGGCAGGCCUAACACAUGCAAGUCGAGCGGAUGAAGGGAGCUUGCUCCUGGAUUCAGCGGCGGACGGGUGAGUAAUGCCUAGGAAUCUGCCUGGUAGUGGGGGAUAACGUCCGGAAACGGGCGCUAAUACCGCAUACGUUCUGAGGGAGAAAGUGGGGGAUCUUCGGACCUCACGCUAUCAGAUGAGCCUAGGUCGGAUUAGCUAGUUGGUGGGGUAAAGACCUACCAAGGCGACGAUCCGUAACUGGUCUGAGAGGAUGAUCAGUCACACUGGAACUGAGGCACGGUCCAGACUCCUACGGGAGGCAGCAGUGGGGAAUAUUGGACAGUGGGCGAAAGCCUGAUCCAGCCAUGCCGCGUGUGUGAAGAAGGUCUUCGGAUUGUAAAGCACUUUAAGUUGGGAGGAAGGGCAGUAAGUUAAUACCUUGCUGUUUUGACGUUACCAACAGAAUAAGCACCGGCUAACUUCGUG
rnacentral:rRNA from 1 species